rnacentral:rRNA from 1 species
AGUGGGGAAUAUUGCACAAUGGGCGCAAGCCUGAUGCAGCCAUGCCGCGUGUGUGAAGAAGGCCUUCGGGUUGUAAAGCACUUUCAGUCAGGAGGAAAGGUUAGUAGUUAAUACCUGCUAGCUGUGACGUUACUGACAGAAGAAGCACCGGCUAACUCCGUGCCAGCAGCCGCGGUAAUACGGAGGGUGCGAGCGUUAAUCGGAAUUACUGGGCGUAAAGCGUACGCAGGCGGUUUGUUAAGCGAGAUGUGAAAGCCCCGGGCUCAACCUGGGAACUGCAUUUCGAACUGGCAAACUAGAGUGUGAUAGAGGGUGGUAGAAUUUCAGGUGUAGCGGUGAAAUGCGUAGAGAUCUGAAGGAAUACCGAUGGCGAAGGCAGCCACCUGGGUCAACACUGACGCUCAUGUACGAAAGCGUGGGGAGCAAACAGGAUUAGAUACCCUGGUAGUCCACGCCGUAAACGAUGUMUACUAGAAGCUCGGAACCUCGGUUCUGUUUUCAAAGCUAACG